rnacentral:rRNA from 1 species
AUGUCCGUCGCCACCGCCCACCACCUCCGCCCGUCGCCACCGGCGGCCCGCGACCGCCUCCCCGGAUGCGCCGCGCGCGCCUCCUUCCGGCCCCUGCGCCGCCGCGGAGUCGCCGCGGGGGCGACCGCCGCCGUGUCGGCGGUCGCCGCGACCGCCAAGAGGGAUCCCCGGGAUUGCAGGGUGCGGCGCCACACGAUUUCCGUGUUCGUCGGGGACGAGAGCGGCAUGAUAAACAGGAUUGCCGGGGUGUUCGCAAGGAGAGGCUACAACAUCGAGUCACUCGCCGUGGGGCUCAACAAGGACAAGGCCCUCUUCACCAUCGUCGUCUCAGGGACGGAUAGGGUGCUCAAGCAAGUCAUUGAGCAGCUCAAUAAGCUCGUCAACGUCUUGAAUGUUGAGGAUCUAUCUAAGGAGCCUCAGGUUGAAAGAGAGCUCAUGCUUAUAAAACUCAGUGUUGAACCAGAUCAACGUGCUGAUGUCAUGUUUGUAGCUAAUGUUUUCAGAGCGAAAGUUGUUGAUAUUUCUGAGAACAGCCUAACUCUGGAGGUAACUGGAGAUCCUGGGAAAAUCGUUGCGGCACAAAGGAACCUAAGCAAAUUUGGGAUCGAAGAAAUUUGUCGAACGGGAAAAAUUGCUUUGAGGCGUGAAAAGAUCGGAGCAACUGCUCGUUUCUGGGGGUUUUCUGCUGCUUCUUACCCAGACCUUGUAGAAGCAUCGCGCAAAAAUCCUCUUACCUCUGUGAAUAAGACGGUUAAUGGCAGUUUUGAUCAACCAUCCAGUGCCGGGGGUGAUGUUUAUCCUGUGGAACCUUAUGAGAGCUUGUCCAUGAACCAAGUACUUGAUGCCCAUUGGGGUGUUCUUGAUGAUGAAGAUUCAAGCGGGCUUCGCUCACAUACUCUCUCCAUCCUUGUGAAUGAUUGUCCUGGUGUCCUCAACAUUAUAACAGGGGUCUUUGCUCGCAGGGGAUACAGUAUACAGAGCCUUGCUGUUGGCCCAGCUGAAAAGGAAGGCAUUUCACGUAUUACAACAGUUGUUCCUGGAACUGAUGAAUCCAUUGGGAAGUUAGUGCAGCAGCUUUACAAGCUUAUCGAUGUACAUAAGGUUGAUGACUUAACUGACUUACCUUUUGCCGAAAGAGAACUGAUGGUUAUCAAAGUAUCUGGAAACACAGCUGCUCGGAGGGAGAUACUAGAUAUUGGUAAUAUCUUCCGGGCAGAAUGUGUGGAUCUUUCUGAUCACACAGUUACGCUACAGCUCACUGGGGAUCUUGACAAGAUGGUUGCACUACAAAGACUGUUAGAGCCUUAUGGCAUAUGUGAGGUCGCGAGAACAGGUCGGGCAGCGCUAAUCCGUGAAUCCAGGGUUGACUCCAAGUACCUCCGCGGCUAUUCUCUUCCACUGUAA